UACGGAGGGUGCGAGCGUUGUCCGGAAUUACUGGGCGUAAAGGGCGCGCAGGCGGCUCUGAAAGUCAGAUGUGAAAGCCCCGGGCUCAACCUGGGAAUUGCAUUCGAGACUGCUCUGCUAGGGUGCGGAAGAGGGAAGCGGAAUUUCCGGUGUAGCGGUGAAAUGCGUAGAUAUCGGAAGGAACACCAGUGGCGAAAGCGGCUUCCUGGUCCAGCACCGACGUUCAGGCACGAAAGCGUGGGGAGCAAACAGG
rnacentral:rRNA from 1 species